rnacentral:ncRNA from 1 species
GCUGGAGACUACGGGUGCCCGGCGCGCUUUCCUCCCAAUUAUUGCUUUUCAUAGUAAUAGGUGGGCUAGGAAAGCGUUCACCGGGCUGAGAGCAUACCGUUGAACUUGAUCGCGUUUAUGCGCGCGAAAGGAGUGUCUCCCUGCCCCCUC